GGGAAGAUGGCUCAGUGGUAGAGUGCUUGCCUUGCAUGCAUGAGGCCCUGGGUUCGAUUCCUCAGUACCCA
rnacentral:tRNA from 1 species